CAGCCGCCACGGUAAUACGUAGGUCCCGAGCGUUGUCCGGAUUUAUUGGGCGUAAAGCGAGCGCAGGCGGUUAGAUAAGUCUGAAGUUAAAGGCUGUGGCUUAACCAUAGUACGCUUUGGAAACUGUUUAACUUGAGUGCAAGAGGGGAGAGUGGAAUUCCAUGUGUAGCGGUGAAAUGCGUAGAUAUAUGGAGGAACACCGGUGGCGAAAGCGGCUCUCUGGCUUGUAACUGACGCUGAGGCUCGAAAGCGUGGGGAGCAAACAGGAUUAGAUACCCGCGUAGUCCCUGUCUCUUAUACA
rnacentral:rRNA from 1 species